rnacentral:snoRNA from 1 species
AUCCUUUUGUAGCUCCUGAGCAUGAUGAUUGUGUGUUCAUGCUCAUGUGUGAGAUGUCCCACCCUUGAACCUUGUUACAACAUUGCAUGUACAUGUUACAACAUGUAACCUUGUUACUUGUGUUACAACACCUGUCUGACA